rnacentral:piRNA from 1 species
UUAUGUUUUGGGUGUUAACAU